GCUGGGCGUGGUGGUGCAUGCCUGUAAUCCAGUGGCUUAGGAGGCUUAGGCAGGAGGAUCUCAAGUUCAAAUCCAGUCUCAGGAACUUUUCAAGGCCCUAACAAUUUAUUGAGACCCUGUCUCAA
rnacentral:sRNA from 1 species